rnacentral:misc_RNA from 1 species
UUGUGGAGGAGGACGCCGAAGGUGGGGCUAAUGACUGGGGGGAAGUCGUAACAAGGUAGCCGUACCGGAAGGUGCGGCUGGAUCACCUCCUAACAGGGAGACAAAUAUUGAUCAUGAUGUCUUAGGUAUUUAUCCUUAGGCCAUGAUCCUGUCACCUUAGGUCGAUCGGUACCUCAAAUUUUUUCCAAUAGUUUUUGGAAGUUAAUUUCAGUUCCUAAACUUGUCUAGGUCACACCCCGCAAGGGUUCUCCUGGGCCAUUAGCUCAGGUGGUUAGAGCGCACCCCUGAUAAGGGUGAGGUCCCUGGUUCAAGUCCAGGAUGGCCCAUUCGUUGUUGGGGGUAUAGCUCAGUUGGUAGAGCGCCUGCUUUGCAAGCAGGAUGUCAGCGGUUCGAGUCCGCUUACCUCCACUGAUCUAUCACUCGACAUCUAAGCUUUUGGAGAAAUUACUUUGCCAUAUGUGAUUUAGACUUUGUUUCCUGAAGGAACCUAGCUUCCUAUCAUUCUAUAUUUAAAAUGAAUUAGAUAUAGUUGAUAAGACGCUGGGCUCAUAAAUGAUAUUCGAAAGAAUAUCAUUGAAGCUCAGAAGAACCUUGACAACUGCAUAGAUUAAGUCUGGAAUGAAUAAAGCAUCUCAUGGAUGCAUAAUUCUUUAGUAUGAGAUAAGUAUAAAUGUAAAUCAUUAUUCCUUAUCUUAUUAUUAAAGAAUGAAUGUUCAAUUCUUGAGUAAGAGCCGAGGCUCUAUAAAUUUUAUAGAGCAUUAUGGUCAAGCUACAA